GAUUAAGUUAUUAAGGGCGCACGGUGGAUGCCUUGGCACUAGAAGCCGAUGAAGGACGUUACUAACGACGAUAUGCUUUGGGGAGCUGUAAGUAAGCUUUGAUCCAGAGAUUUCCGAAUGGGGAAACCCAGCAUGAGUUAUGUCAUGUUAUCGAUAUGUGAAUACAUAGCAUAUCAGAAGGCACACCCGGAGAACUGAAACAUCUUAGUACCCGGAGGAAGAGAAAGAAAAUUCGAUUCCCUUAGUAGCGGCGAGCGAAACGGGAAGAGCCCAAACCAACAAGCUUGCUUGUUGGGGUUGUAGGACACUCUAUACGGAGUUACAAAGGACGACAUUAGACGAAUCAUCUGGAAAGAUGAAUCAAAGAAGGUAAUAAUCCUGUAGUCGAAAAUGUUGUCUCUCUUGAGUGGAUCCUGAGUACGACGGAGCACGUGAAAUUCCGUCGGAAUCUGGGAGGACCAUCUCCUAAGGCUAAAUACUCUCUAGUGACCGAUAGUGAACCAGUACCGUGAGGGAAAGGUGAAAAGCACCCCGGAAGGGGAGUGAAAUAGAACCUGAAACCGUGUGCUUACAAGUAGUCAGAGCCCGUUAAUGGGUGAUGGCGUGCCUUUUGUAGAAUGAACCGGCGAGUUACGAUUUGAUGCAAGGUUAAGCAGUAAAUGUGGAGCCGUAGCGAAAGCGAGUCUGAAUAGGGCGUUUAGUAUUUGGUCGUAGACCCGAAACCAGGUGAUCUACCCUUGGUCAGGUUGAAGUUCAGGUAACACUGAAUGGAGGACCGAACCGACUUACGUUGAAAAGUGAGCGGAUGAACUGAGGGUAGCGGAGAAAUUCCAAUCGAACCUGGAGAUAGCUGGUUCUCUCCGAAAUAGCUUUAGGGCUAGCCUCAAGUGAUGAUUAUUGGAGGUAGAGCACUGUUUGGACGAGGGGCCCCUCUCGGGUUACCGAAUUCAGACAAACUCCGAAUGCCAAUUAAUUUAACUUGGGAGUCAGAACAUGGGUGAUAAGGUCCGUGUUCGAAAGGGAAACAGCCCAGACCACCAGCUAAGGUCCCAAAAUAUAUGUUAAGUGGAAAAGGAUGUGGCGUUGCCCAGACAACUAGGAUGUUGGCUUAGAAGCAGCCAUCAUUUAAAGAGUGCGUAAUAGCUCACUAGUCGAGUGACACUGCGCCGAAAAUGUACCGGGGCUAAACAUAUUACCGAAGCUGUGGAUUGUCCUUUGGACAAUGGUAGGAGAGCGUUCUAAGGGCGUUGAAGCAUGAUCGUAAGGACAUGUGGAGCGCUUAGAAGUGAGAAUGCCGGUGUGAGUAGCGAAAGACGGGUGAGAAUCCCGUCCACCGAUUGACUAAGGUUUCCAGAGGAAGGCUCGUCCGCUCUGGGUUAGUCGGGUCCUAAGCUGAGGCCGACAGGCGUAGGCGAUGGAUAACAGGUUGAUAUUCCUGUACCACCUAUAAUCGUUUUAAUCGAUGGGGGACGCAGUAGGAUAGGCGAAGCGUGCGAUUGGAUUGCACGUCUAAGCAGUAAGGCUGAGUAUUAGGCAAAUCCGGUACUCGUUAAGGCUGAGCUGUGAUGGGGAGAAGACAUUGUGUCUUCGAGUCGUUGAUUUCACACUGCCGAGAAAAGCCUCUAGAUAGAAAAUAGGUGCCCGUACCGCAAACCGACACAGGUAGUCAAGAUGAGAAUUCUAAGGUGAGCGAGCGAACUCUCGUUAAGGAACUCGGCAAAAUGACCCCGUAACUUCGGGAGAAGGGGUGCUCUUUAGGGUUAACGCCCAGAAGAGCCGCAGUGAAUAGGCCCAAGCGACUGUUUAUCAAAAACACAGGUCUCUGCUAAACCGUAAGGUGAUGUAUAGGGGCUGACGCCUGCCCGGUGCUGGAAGGUUAAGAGGAGUGGUUAGCUUCUGCGAAGCUACGAAUCGAAGCCCCAGUAAACGGCGGCCGUAACUAUAACGGUCCUAAGGUAGCGAAAUUCCUUGUCGGGUAAGUUCCGACCCGCACGAAAGGCGUAACGAUUUGGGCACUGUCUCAACGAGAGACUCGGUGAAAUCAUAGUACCUGUGAAGAUGCAGGUUACCCGCGACAGGACGGAAAGACCCCGUGGAGCUUUACUGUAGCCUGAUAUUGAAAUUCGGCACAGCUUGUACAGGAUAGGUAGGAGCCUUUGAAACGUGAGCGCUAGCUUACGUGGAGGCGCUGGUGGGAUACUACCCUAGCUGUGUUGGCUUUCUAACCCGCACCACUUAUCGUGGUGGGAGACAGUGUCAGGCGGGCAGUUUGACUGGGGCGGUCGCCUCCUAAAAGGUAACGGAGGCGCUCAAAGGUUCCCUCAGAAUGGUUGGAAAUCAUUCAUAGAGUGUAAAGGCAUAAGGGAGCUUGACUGCGAGACCUACAAGUCGAGCAGGGUCGAAAGACGGACUUAGUGAUCCGGUGGUUCCGCAUGGAAGGGCCAUCGCUCAACGGAUAAAAGCUACCCCGGGGAUAACAGGCUUAUCUCCCCCAAGAGUUCACAUCGACGGGGAGGUUUGGCACCUCGAUGUCGGCUCAUCGCAUCCUGGGGCUGUAGUCGGUCCCAAGGGUUGGGCUGUUCGCCCAUUAAAGCGGUACGCGAGCUGGGUUCAGAACGUCGUGAGACAGUUCGGUCCCUAUCCGUCGUGGGCGUAGGAAAUUUGAGAGGAGCUGUCCUUAGUACGAGAGGACCGGGAUGGACAUACCUCUGGUGUACCAGUUGUCGUGCCAACGGCAUAGCUGGGUAGCUAUGUGUGGACGGGAUAAGUGCUGAAAGCAUCUAAGCAUGAAGCCCCCCUCAAGAUGAGAUUUCCCAACUUCGGUUAUAAGAUCCCUCAAAGAUGAUGAGGUUAAUAGGUUCGAGGUGGAAGCAUGGUGACAUGUGGAGCUGACGAAUACUAAUCGAUCGAAGACUUAAUCAA
rnacentral:rRNA from 1 species